rnacentral:rRNA from 1 species
GACGAACGCUGGCGGCGUGCCUAAUACAUGCAAGUAGAACGCUGAAGGAGGAGCUUGCUUCUCUGGAUGAGUUGCGAACGGGCGAGUAACGCGUAGGUAACCUGCCUGGUAGCGGGGGAUAACUAUUGGAAACGAUAGCUAAUACCGCAUAAUAGUAGAUGUUGCAUGACAUUUGCUUAAAAGGUGCAAUUGCAUCACUACCAGAUGGACCUGCGUUGUAUUAGCUAGUUGGUGGGGUAACGGCUCACCAAGGCGACGAUACAUAGCCGACCUGAGAGGGUGAUCGGCCACACUGGGACUGAGACACGGCCCAGACUCCUACGGGAGGCAGCAGUAGGGAAUCUUCGGCAAUGGACGGAAGUCUGACCGAGCAACGCCGCGUGAGUGAAGAAGGGUUUCGGAUCGUAAAGCUCGGUUGUAAGAGAAGAACGAGUGUGAGAGUGGAAAGUUCACACUGUGACGGUAUCUUACCAGAAAGGGACGGCUAACUACGUG